GGAUCGAUGAUGACACAUGCAUUCCUUGGAAAAUCUGAACAAAAUGAGUGAGAACUCACUACCGUCUCCUCAUCGAAACUGAGGUCC
rnacentral:snoRNA from 1 species